AUUGAACGCUGGCGGCAGGCCUAACACAUGCAAGUCGAGCGGAGCGGCGGACGGGUGAGUAAUGCCUAGGAAUCUGCCUGGUAGUGGGGGAUAACGUCCGGCAACGGGCGCUCAUACCGCAUACUAUCAGAUGAGCCUAGGUCGGAUUAGCUAGUUGGUGGGGUAAAGGCCUACCAAGGUGACGAUCCGUAACUGGUCUGAGAGGAUGAUCAGUCAAACGGGAACUGAGAAACGGUCCAGAAUCCGACGGGAGGCAGCAGGGGGGAAUAUGGGACAAUGGGCGAAAGCCUGAUCCAGCCAGGCCGCGUGUGUGAAGAAGGUCUUCGGAUUGUAAAGCACUUGAAGUUGGGAGGCGUUACCAACAGAAUAAGCACCGGCUAACUUCGUGCCAGCAGCCGCGGUAAUAC
rnacentral:rRNA from 1 species